AGAGAGAGAGAGAGAGAGGGCUCUUCGCUUUCUUCUAGGUCGACGUAACGUCACUAGCCGUUUAGCUCUUUCUUUUUGGUACAUGUCUAAAGUCAAUUGCCUUGAGUUAUGAAAUGACUAUAGACUGAAACGCCUUUGCUUUUUUUAGCCCAUUACGUGACUUUCUUGACCAUAUUACCAAAAUUAAUUCAAGCUCAUUUUUAUUAUCACAGAAAUAAAAAGGACAAGAAAUAGUAGAAGGGAACAUGUUUCAGUGGACUGACCAUAUUACCAAUUUGAAAAAAAAAAAUUAUAAUAAUGCAGGUGCUACAGUAA
rnacentral:misc_RNA from 1 species